rnacentral:misc_RNA from 1 species
GGGAGCCUGUAGAUUUAUAUAUAACUCUAUAUGCAAAGGCAGGGGUUUGGAUUUCUUGAUAUAGUCUUUCAAGAACCACACUGUUGGGCAGGUGAAUAAUAUCUCCAGAACAAAAACUUACCUUUUCUGGUCAAAACUAAUUUAUAUGUUUACUUUCUUUCUGGUAUAAUUUAAUCUGUAAAUCUUCUUUGUUAUUAGUGUUCCUCAAUUUUAGUGGGGAAAGAUUUGGUGAUAGGCCAUUUAUAACGCCAAGCAGAUUGUUAUUAUAUAGUUCUUACCGACUGUGCG